rnacentral:piRNA from 1 species
UCCCAGCCAUGAACAGAUGGACGGCAGGA